rnacentral:rRNA from 1 species
AGAGUUUGAUCCUGGCUCAGGAUAAACGCUGGCGGCGUGCCUAACACAUGCAAGUCGAACGCCCUGGAGUAAUCCAGGGAGUGGCGGACGGGUGAGGAACACGUGGGUCAUCUACCUUGAGGUGAGGAAUACCGGCGAGAAAUCGCCGACAAUACCGCAUACGCUUCUCGCGAAGCAAAGUUCAGCAAUGGACGCCACAA